AUUGAACGCUGGCGGCAUGCCUUACACAUGCAAGUCGAACGGCAGCACGGGAGCAAUCCUGGUGGCGAGUGGCGAACGGGUGAGUAAAGUAUCGGAACGUGCCCAGUCGUGGGGGAUAACGUAGCGAAAGUUACGCUAAUACCGCAUACGAUCUAUGGAUGAAAGCGGGGGAUCGCAAGACCUCGCGCGAUUGGAGCGGCAGAUAUCAGAUUAGGUAGUUGGUGGGGUAAAGGCUCACCAAGCCGACGAUCUGUAGCUGGUCUGAGAGGACGACCAGCCACACUGGGACUGAGACACGGCCCAGACUCCUACGGGAGGCAGCAGUGGGGAACUUUGGACAAUGGGCGAAAGCCUGAUCCAGCCAUGCCGCGUGCAGGAUGAAGGCCUUCGGGUUGUAAACUGCUUUUGUACGGAACGAAAAGGUUUGGGCUAAUAAGCUGAGCUCAUGACGGUACCGUAAGAAUAAGCACCGGCUAACUACGUGCCAGCCGCCGCCGUAA
rnacentral:rRNA from 1 species